GCGCCCCAAGAAUUUGAAUUUCUAACAAGUACCCAGGUGAUACUGAUGCUGCUGGUCCCCCUACCCUGACACAUGGUUUGAGAACUCUUGUCACAUGUGAGAAAUUACAAAUGUGUGCUAUGUUAAUGUUCCGUAUACAUCAAAGGAACUCAUCAGUUAUACAUUGUUUUGAGGAAGUAGACAUAAAAUUUUGGUUCAGAGUUAGGGGGCCCUUACUGGACGUACAAAAGAAAUACUCCUGGAUCCUCAAAGAGGCACCUAAGGGAUUGCCAGUGCCCAGAAAAACCUAAAGACAUCGGUGCAGACCCCUAAUACAACAAGGAAAACCCCACCCAAGCUGGACGUAUGCACUUUUGCUGUUGCCCACAUUUUCAGAAAUGGGACUCCCCAGAGGCAGAGCUUUGGACGGAGAAGAGCAGAGCCUGGGAGCUCUUUGCUGGGAAGGGAUGAGUGAAAGACCGUGGCCAAGAGCUUGCUGGGAACCUGAACCUGUUUCCUUUCCUGGGCGAAGUUAGAAGCCGGACACAGACCAGGCUUCCACCCCUGGCCUCCAGAGUGUCAAUCCUGGGGCCCGCGCCGGGGGCCUGUGCUUUUCAGCAGUGAGAAAACGGCGGUCUGGCCCAGUUCCACUCGGGAGAGGCAGAGGCGACGCUGUGAGGGAGAGACAGAGGGUACCUCUCUGCCCCAAGCAACAGACAUUCAGGAAAGAAAGUGAAACUAACUGGGGGCAUGCAUUCCGCAAACACUCCCUGAAGAAAACGCUGAGGAUUUAAAGAUACGAUGUAAUCCUUGCCUUCAAGAAGCUUCUAGUCUAGUGCAAUGGCAACAGAAUCUCUGGGAGGAAGACCAAGAUGCGUCAGGGCAGGGAGAUGGCCAAGCUGCUGGACUGCCCACCUGAAAAGGGAGGGCUACUCAGAUGCACUAGAAAUGUCACCAUGCCAAGGCAAGCCCUGCUUACC